GAUGAACGCUGGCGGCGUGCCUAAUACAUGCAAGUCGAGCGAACAGACGAGGAGCUUGCUCCUCUGACGUUAGCGGCGGACGGGUGAGUAACACGUGGAUAACCUACCUAUAAGACUGGGAUAACUUCGGGAAACCGGAGCUAAUACCGGAUAAUAUAUUGAACCGCAUGGUUCAAUAGUGAAAGACGGUUUUGCUGUCACUUAUAGAUGGAUCCGCGCCGCAUUAGCUAGUUGGUAAGGUAACGGCUUACCAAGGCAACGAUGCGUAGCCGACCUGAGAGGGUGAUCGGCCACACGGGAACUGAGACACGGUCCAGACUCCUACGGGAGGCCGCAGUAGGGAAUCUUCCGCAAUGGGCGAAAGCUUGACGGAGCAACGCCGCGUGAGUGAUGAAGGUCUUCGGAUCGUAAAACUCUGUUAUUAGGGAAGAACAAAUGUGUAAGUAACUAUGCACGUCUUGACGGUACCUAAUCAGAAAGCCACGGCUAACUACGUG
rnacentral:rRNA from 1 species